CACUUCUUCCAACAGUGCCUCUGGAGAGAUUCUUACAUACAAUGUUACAGACAAGCAAGAAGAAAUGCAAGAGAGUUGAGUGUGAAGUUUUCAUGCUUCUUGAUAGACAAAGAGAAAAAUAUGGUUCCUGUCCUGAGGAGUGAAAUCAGACAAUGCUCAGUAUCACAACCCUCUGCUGUCCUACUUGACCCUGAAACAGAUCUGGUACAUACAUCAGGGUCUAAACAGGAGUCCUCGCCUGGAUCCGUUAAGAAAACAGAUGAGAAAGGAAAGGUAAACUUCCAGCAGAAAUGCCC